ACUGAUCAGAGGGACAAGAGUCAGAGAGAGCCAGGAGCGGAGGGAGGGGCACCGCACACCCGUCACAGGCCCACGGGAGGGCUGUGCCGCCCAGAGCCUGGGCUAGAGCCUCCAAGGACCUACGCCGCAGAUCUGCCCCUGCCUUGUGGGGGACCCACCUCCCCAGGCCUGCUGUGGCUGUGUGUCUUUGGAUUCUACAGCCUAUGUGAGGUCUGAGCUGUCCUGGAAACAACUCGCUACCCAUCUCUUAGAUCUGGUCUUCAGUUCAGCUGGACCCCCCCCUGCCAGGUCCCCUUGCCCAGCAGGUGCUCAAGGAGAACCUAAGCAGCCCCUCCCCAUCUCGAUGUGCAGAGACCACUCUGCCAGCACUGCGGGUCCCACCUCCAGCAUCAUCACGUGCUUCUGCCAUCAUCCGUGCAGAGCGACCACCUGUCACCUGCCUCGACAUUCUAGGGCCGCCAGCCACUCCCCAGGCCUGCCCACUGUGUGCACCCACACUCCCCAGCCUUCAAAGCUCCCCGUGGACCCUGCCCACUGCCUGAAGCCCUGGGCUCUGUCCUGCCGUGGUCUGUGCAAGGCGGCACCUGCUCGUGGAGGAGUCUGUGCUGAGGGAACAGCAAGCUGACCUUGCCCCGGUCACAGGCAGGGCUGGUGAGACUUCUGAGACCACCAACGCCAGGACCAGUGCCUUUGCUAAGCUCCCUUCUCCGCCACCAGACAGGGAAACGCAUUACGUGUCACCCAACAGAAAACAUUCAGCUGUGGGAUGGCCUGCAGGAGGCCGGCAACCCAGCCCAGGAGAGCAGCACUUCCAAGACACCGUCCCAGCCUGGCUUCCCGGCACAUGACCUGGGGCAGCAGGAGCUGUGGACCCGGGCACACAGACCUGGGCUCAGAGCUGCUGUGUGCCUUCCUAGCUGGCGACCGUCAUCUGAGCAGUGGGGGCACCUCUCAAUCCCAUAGGGUGCAGGACAGAGGGAGACCUUUGAACUGAGCUUGAACUCAGGGCCUGGGAAAUGGGCAACCUCCCUGUGGACCCCAGAGGCCCCUUCUGACCAAAGGCAGACCAGGACAGCAGUUGCCCUCACAAGGACGCAAGCCAGCCCCACAGCCUCUGGUGCAGCCCCACUGGGAGGUGGCUGUCGGGGUGGGGGCCCGUGGAAGGAAGGGGUUAGGAUGGCUCGGCUCAGCCCUGGAGGACCCCUCGGUAUGAGCUGCGGACACAGGCAAGAUCAGGAUGACCUGGCAAGGUGGCACCUCCUGGGGUGAAGGGGAGGUGCUAGGUGUUCCCAGCUUCCCUGAGCAUUGCAACUCCAUCCAGUACACGCCCCACCUUCUGGCCUCGGGGCUGGGGCCCUUCCCUGGUGCUCACCCUCUCUCCCCAGCUGGGCCCCUGACUUUCAGCACUGCAGUAUCAGGGUCUGGAUGACCAGCAAUGACAUGGCUACUGGGAGGUGCUGCAAACAGCAUUUAGGAAUCAGAGGCUGGGCUGGGCAUGGUGGCUGGCCAGCCGCGACGGUUCAGGCCUGUUAUCCCAGUGCUUUGGGAAGCCAAGGUGGGCAGAUCACUUGAGGUCAGGAGUUCAAGAGCAGCCUGGCCAACAUGAUGAAAUCCCAUCUCUACCAAAAAUACAAAAAUGAGCCAGGCGUGGUGGCGCGCACCUGUAGUCCCAGCUACUCUACUCAGGAAGCUGAGGCAGGAGAAUCACUUGAAGAACCUGGGAGGCGGAGACUGCAGUGAGCCCAGAUCAUGCCACUGCACUCCAGCCUGGGUGACAGAGCAAGACUUUGUCUCAUAAAAGAAACUAUGGGCUAAAGAGAAUUUAACUAUUAAUAGAGUCUAAUUAAUUAGGUGAGAUUAAAAUUUCCCAAGGCAGCCAGGAUGGCAGGGCAAUGUGACCAGACAUCCUGCAUCUUUCAGGAGCUGUGAGAUAUCUCAGGGUGGGGAAGAUGAGCCAUCUCAGAGUUGGGGGACUCGACAUCUGGAGAGGGGUAUGGCCGUCUUUGCCAGCUCCUCUGGGCAGCCAGGAGCCCUGCGGCAUCAGUGCCCGUCCUCUCUGCCUCCACCUGCCCAUAUCUGUACUAUUGUCUUGCCAGGGUGCCCAGGCAGCCAAGGCCUUUGAGAGAAAGAAGAGUGGUCCCUGGUGAAAGGAGACCAUGGUAGAGGAGCCCGGGUCAUGGGAGGGUGCAGGGAAGGGAGUGAAGAAGCCCGGGCAGGGCUGGGGGGUUCAGGGAAAAAAGGGGAACCCGACCUCACAGCACUAGCCAUCUAUUGGCCUGUAGCUUCCCAGGCGGCCAAGCUCUUUCACAUCUGCGUUCCUGACUCCCCUUCAACAUUUCUAUCAGGUGGGGAGCAUUAAAAUGGACCCGUUUACAUCUGAGCAAACCAAGGCUCACAGGCGCUCUGGGGCUGGCCUGGUGCCUCCGGCCACUGGGACCGGUGCCAGCAGUGCCAGUCUCCGCCUCCCACAAGGGAGGGGAUUGCAGCUUCAGGCCCAGGGUGGAGGGAGAUGGGCCUGUGCCUAAGAACAGGGAGGGCAUAGGGAAGCAGGAGCACCCCAGGGAGGGCUGCCCUGGGCAGGGCCGGGGGCUGGGGCUAGGCACUCACAGGCCUUUCCUGGGGCUGCAGAGACAGUCAGGUGGGUGGGUUGGGUUGAGAGAGAGCACCUGCUCUGCAGCAGGCUGGGGAAGGAUCCAGGUGGCCUGAUGGGAAGGCAGGGACCCCCAACCAGCGCAGGCUCAGAAGGGGCUGGGCUCAGCAUGGCCCCUGAGGUCCCCCCAGCUAUCUCCGGGGAGGCCAGAAGGCCAGAGCCAAGAGCUGGGUAGCCACUCCAGGGCCAACUGGGGGCCCACAGCCCAGGGCACCAGCCCAGGACAGAGUGGAAAAACAGCUUCAGGUUGACCCCAGGGAGAGUGGAGGGCUGAGUGAGGCCACCCGAUGCCAGAAGGCCCUUCUUGGGUCCCCACCUCUGCCUAUGCAGGUGGGAGCCAGCCCCUGCAGCUCCACCGCCGCCCACGUCUUUGGCCGGCACGCACCUGAGAUGGCCUGGACGGCCACACGGAGGAAGCCCUUCACCUCGCCCUUCUCACUGACGAUAGCCACGCGGUGCACCAGGGGCACGGGGUACAGCAGGUUGCUCAGGUACACGAAGGCCCUGCGGGGAAGCAGAGGCCAAGUCACCGGUCACCCCUUCAAGUGAGUUCUGAGCGGCAGUGGCGGCAGCACGGCCCGGCUCACGACACAACACGGAGCUGCAAAGCAGAGGGAAGCCACCGGACGGGACAGCCAGGACCAGGACAGCGAGAGCGGACGGGCAGGCAGGGUGGGCACCGGAGGAGACAGGAGGUGGGGGACAGAGAGGAGGAUGAGGAAUGAGCUGCGGCGAGCAGAGGCGCAGCCCAGCUGGGCCCGGACCCAGCUGCCUGAGAAGCGAGCAGCGGAGGAGGGAGGUUUCAGCCUGCUUCAAGGAGGACGGGGACUGGACCAGGACCCAGACCACGCUGCGCUGCCCCCUUCUCACACUGGCACUGAUGGCCAGCAUCACCCUGCCUCCUGCCUACUUCCCAAAGGUCCCUGAUGCUCACAGACCCCACAGAGCCACUUCCCCGAACAGAAACUCAGCAGGUGGGAGCUCUGAGGACCAGCCUAGGCAGAGACCACAAGCCCCUACGGUCGACGGGUAGCUGCUGCCUUCCCUGUGCUGACCCAUGUGUGGGCAGCUGGAAGGCCAGAGACGACCCUGUGAAGACUGCACACCCCUUCCCAGCAGCCCAGGAGUACAUGCUGAGAUUGGGGCACUUUCCUUCAGGGGAAGGAAGCCUGGCAUGAGAAGGACACCUGGAUGAGGACCCUGAGGCACAGAGAUGAAGGAAGUCGCCAGGGCCUGGCAGUGAGGCCUGCGUGGGACUCCUCUCCAGCUCCGCUGCAUGGACACCAAGCUCCACGGCCUCCCUCUAGGGCUGGGGUAGGCCUCCACUCUGGGUGGGCACUUAACCUGGGUGCCUGCCUAGUUAUCACAGCUGAUUAAUUAAGCAGAGGGAUUGUUUCACGCUUUUUCAGAAUGUCCUCAGGCUGGGGACUGGGGGGGGUCCCAGACGCUGCAGCAUUCACAGACUGCCUCUGACUGCUCUCAAGGUGCAACCCAAACUGUGCCCCAAAGGCGGGGACUGCUCGGGUGGGGCCCCAGGGGACAUCCAGGCAGAGGUUAUACAAUGGAAAGGACCCCAGGUCCGGGACCAAUGCUGCCCCAUCUCACCACGCCCUGUGAGCAUCCUCAUGGCACUGACCCGGGACCCAAGGCCACCCGUGGGAGCACGUGGGCCUGGCUGGGGUUCCAGUGCUGGGUGGUCUCCUCUCCCCACUGCCGGUCCCCGUCUGCCUGGCUUGGUGAUGGACUUGUUCAGCCAGAAAGGACUGCUGGGCCCUGAAUCCACUGCCCCAGUGGCAGCAGCAGCCUGAAGAGCACUGUGAGGGAACAGAGGAGGCGCCCACCUGCCCACCAGCCGGAACCAGGGGAAGCGGUCGUAGAAGGGGUCUCCGCCGGUCACCACGUUGUCACAGUCCUCGAUGACGCUGGAGGGCACCUCGGCAGCGCGGUCAUACAUCUCCCGCAUCAGUUCCAGGCGCUGCCUGCAGGGACGCCAGGGGCCAGUGUAUACCCAGGCCCAGCGCCCAGCAGCUGGCAUUGCACACCCUUAGCUCCUGGGGGCAGUGGGCUCGGCCCUGCGGGGCGUCUAUGCUCUGCUUUCCAGGGGCCUGUGAGUGACAUCCUCCACUCAUGGCGCUGACCUCACAUGGUGACUCAGUCACCCCCAUAAGUUAAGGCCAGCUGGACACAGUGGCUCCCACUAUAAUGCCAGUACUUUGGGAGGCCAAGGUGGAAGGAUUGGUUGAAGGCAGGAGUUAGAGGUCAGCCUGCGCAACAGAGCGAGACCUCGUCUCUACCAAAAAUGAAAAUUAAAAAAUCAGCUGGGUGUGGUGGUGCACUCUGUGCCUGGGGUCCCAGCUACCUGGGAGGCUGAGGUGGGAGGAUCAGCUGAGGCCAGGAGUUCCAGCUGCAGUGAGCCGUGCUCACACCUCUGCACUCCAGCCUGAGCAACAAGGCAAGGUCCCAUCUCUUUCUUUUUUUUUUUUUUGAGAUGGAGUUUAGCUCUUGUUACCCAGGCUGGAGUGCAAUGGCGCCAUCUCGGCUCACCGCAACCUCCGCCUCCCGGGUUCAGGCAAUUCUCCUGCCUCAGCCUCCUGAGUAGCUGGGAUUACAGGCACGCGCCACCAUGCCCAGCUAUUUUUUUUUUUUUGUAUUUUUAGUAGAGACUAAAAUACAUGGGGUUUCACCAUGUUGACCAGGAUGGUCUGGAUCUCUUGACCUCGUGAUCCACCUGCCUCGGCCUCCCAAAGUGCUGGGAUGACAGGCUGGAGCCACCGCGCCCGGCCGGUCCCAUCUCUUAAAAUCAAAUUAAAGAUCAGGACAAAUCAGAGUGAGCUCCACGCCCACCUCAGCUCCUCCUCCACCUUCUGCUGGCUCAGCUGAGGGACCCACCUCCCGGAGGAGCAAGGGGACAUUGCUUCCGCCCCAGCACCUCUCCGAGCCCCUCUGGGGAGCCGCCCUCCAGGCCCUGCUGUGCUCACUCCGGGCACCCCACCAGCCUGUUCUGUUGGCACCAUGGCCUGCCCACCCUCCACAGCACCGUCCUGAGCCCUGUGGGCCUGAGGAGCAUUAGCCUCAUGUCCUUCUCUCCUAAAGAAAACACCCAAAUCCAUUUCUAUGUACGACCACUGCGUUGGCAGAGAGAAUGUGAAUUCUACAAGGCUAGACUAUUCAGGUUGGUCUUCUAAUUUUAACAUAACAGCGGUGUCUGCAGGUACCCGCCGUGAAGCCUGUGCCCACCACCGCUCCUGUGGCCUCAGUCCUGCCCAGGAGGACUCACCCACCAUCCGCCCAGCGGCCCUCCAGCCACACCUGAGCUUCUCCAGCGUCCAGUAGUGAGUGGCCCCGUUCUUCUGGUCCUGGACCUCCACGGCCACGAUGGUGCGGGGGAAGGGCCUCGUCUCUCGGUCUUUGGCGGCCUCUGGGGGCAGCAGGUCAGGUGGCAGAGGGGAGUAGAGUGUGUCCGUGAGGAGGACAAACUGGAAUUGAACCUGUGAUGGGGAAGAUGACCACUCGUCAGCCCCUUGGGGGACAGGGCGCCAGGUCUCCAAAAGGGCUUCCUUCCCACCUUCUGGAGAUUCCAGCUGCACGUCCCACAGCAGUUCACUAGAACCUCACAGACGGCCGCUGCAGGGGACCACCUGCUUCCUGCCCACUCUGCCACCGCCUCCCGUGAGCAGGGAAGGCAAGUCCCGCCUGGCCAGUCCUGGGCUCCCUCACUGCCCACCCUUCUGGGGGGCCCAGGUCAAGCAGGGCUGCUAUGCCACCCCGGGGCUGGCAGAGGACCAGGCGCUGAGUCCCAAGCAGCUGUCCCCGUCAUGAGCGAGCCGAUGCCCUCUCUCCAACAGGAGGCGGUGCAGCCAGUGGGGCAGCCCACCUUCUUCUUCAGCUCCACGCUGAUGGCGUUGGCCUCCUUGAGGAAGAUGGCGUUGCCCCACAGCAGGUCCCUCAGUGAUGUGAACUGGUACCACUUCCACUUCCGGAAGGCCCAGAGCGCCAGCUCACACUCCCGCUCCGUCCACUGGACUGUGGGAGAGGUCACACACGGGCAUCUCAGGACAGCCACAACACUGACCCAUGCCCCACCCUCUGGAAGGUCCAGCUGGUCGGCCACUCCACGGGGCUGCCGUGUGACCCCAGGCUCUAUGUCACCACAGCCGGGUGAUGAUCAGAGUUUCGCUCGUUACCCAGGCUGGAGUGCAAUAGCACCAUCUCGGCUCACCGCAACCUCCGCCUCCUGGGUUCAGGCAAUUCUCCUGCCUCGGUCUCCCGAGUAGCUGGGAUUACAGGCACGCACCACCAUGCCCAGAUAAUUUUUGCAUUUUUAGUAGAGACGGGGUUUCACCAUGUUGACCAGGAUGGUCUCGAUCUCUUGACCUCGUGAUCCACCCGCCUCGGCCUCCCAAAGUGCUGGGAUUACAGGCUUGAGCCACCGCGCCCGGCCGCCAAUGGUCAUUUUUAUGUCAGCCUGGCCAGGCCACAGCACCCAGGGAUUCAGUCACAUACCCCCUGGGUGUGGCAUGGAGGUUUCUGCACAUGUGCUCAGCACCUGCAAUCAAUGGGCUGAUGCCCCCAGCAGCAAGGUGGGCCUCAUCCAAGCAGGUGAAGACCUGAGAGCAAACUGGGGCUUCCUCUGAGGAAGAAGAAACCCAGCAGAUGGAGUCCUCUGCCGCCAAGUUCCCAGCCUGCACCUGCCUGUGGGCUUCAGACUUCCCUGACCAGCCCUGCAAUCUGGUAAGCCCAUUCCUUGAAACA